rnacentral:rRNA from 1 species
UACGGGAGGCAGCAGUGGGGAAUAUUGUUACAAUGGGCGCAAGCCUGAUCCAGCCAUGCCGCGUGUGUGAAGAAGGCCUUCGGGUUGUAAAGCACUUUUGUUCGGGAAGAAAAGCUACCGGUUAAUACCCGGGAGUCAUGACGGUACCGAAAGAAUAAGCACCGGCUAACUUCGUGCCAGCAGCCGCGGUAAUACGAAGGGUGCAAGCGUUACUCGGAAUUACUGGGCGUAAAGCGUGCGUAGGUGGUGCGUUAAGUCUGUCGUGAAAGCCCCGGGCUCAACCUGGGAAUGGCGAUGGAUACUGGCGCGCUAGAGUGCGGUAGAGGAGAGUGGAAUUCCCGGUGUAGCAGUGAAAUGCGUAGAGAUCGGGAGGAACAUCAGUUGCGAAGGCGGCUCUCUGGACCAACACUGACACUGAGGCACGAAAGCGUGGGGAGCAAACAGGAUUAGAUACCCUGGUAGUCCACGCCCUAAACGAUGCGAACUGGACGUUGGGAGCAACUAGGCUCUCAGUGUCGAAGCUAACGCGUUAAGUUCGCCGCCUGGGGAGUACGGUCGCAAGACUGAAACUC